UGUGAAAAACCUUUAAAGCUACUCUGUCUUAGAAAAGAUCCAAACAAGUGAUGCUUUUAUCCAUAAAUCAUCAGAGAAAGUGAAGAAUGGGUACAUAUCCGUGGGACCCUCCACCCCGCUAAUCACAGAACCAGGCCAAACUAGCCCAUAAACCACUGACUCCCUGUAAGGAGAAACUCAGGGAACUGGGGUUGUUCAGCUGGAUGAAGGUUUCCUCUUGCUUACUAAUUUUCAGACAAGGAAAAGCAAGAAGAUGAAACCUGGCUCUUUCAGUGGUGCACACUGGGAGGAUGAGAC
ensembl:lncRNA